UACGUAGGGUGCGAGCGUUAAUCGGAAUUACUGGGCGUAAAGCGUGCGCAGGCGGCGCGCCAAGUCAGAUGUGAAAGCCCCGGGCUUAACCUGGGAAUUGCGUUUGAAACUGGCGGGCUGGAGUGUGGCAGAGGGAGGUGGAAUUCCACGUGUAGCAGUGAAAUGCGUAGAGAUGUGGAGGAACACCGAUGGCGAAGGCAGCCUCCUGGGCCAACACUGACGCUCAUGCACGAAAGCGUGGGGAGCAAACAGG
rnacentral:rRNA from 1 species